UAGGGAAUCUUCCGCAAUGGGCGAAAGCCUGACGGAGCAACGCCGCGUGAGUGAUGAAGGUCUUCGGAUCGUAAAACUCUGUUAUUAGGGAAGAACAAAUGUGUAAGUAACUAUGCACGUCUUGACGGUACCUAAUCAGAAAGCCACGGCUAACUACGUGCCAGCAGCCGCGGUAAUACGUAGGUGGCAAGCGUUAUCCGGAAUUAUUGGACGUAAAGCGCGCGUAGGCGGUUUUUUAAGUCUGAUGUGAAAGCCCACGGCUCAACCGUGGAGGGUCAUUGGAAACGGGAAAACUUGAGUGCAGAAGAGGAAAGUGGAAUUCCAUGUGUAGCGGUGAAAUGCGCAGAGAUAUGGAGGAACACCAGUGGCGAAGGCGACUUUCUGGUCUGUAACUGACGCUGAUGUGCGAAAGCGUGGGGAUCAAACAGG
rnacentral:rRNA from 1 species